CACCAGACUCCUACGGGAGGCAGCAGUGGGGAAUAUUGCACAAUGGGGGAAACCCUGAUGCAGCGACGCCGCGUGAGUGAAGAAGUAUUUCGGUAUGUAAAGUUCUAUCAGCAGGGAAGAAAAUGACGGUACCUGACUAAGAAGCCCCGGCUAACUACGUGCCAGCAGCCGCGGUAAUACGUAGGGGGCAAGCGUUAUCCGGAUUUACUGGGUGUAAAGGGAGCGUAGACGGCGAUGCAAGCCAGAUGUGAAAGCCCGGGGCGCAACCCCGGGACUGCAUUUGGAACUGUGUGGCUGGAGUGUCGGAGAGGCAAGUGGAAUUCCUAGUGUAGCGGUGAAAUGCGUAGAUAUUAGGAGGAACACCAGUGGCGAAGGCGGCGUGCUGGACGAUGACUGACGUUGAGGCUCGAAAGCGUGGGGAGCAAACAGGAUUAGAUACCCCCGUAAUC
rnacentral:rRNA from 1 species